rnacentral:rRNA from 1 species
UACAGAGGUCUCAAGCGUUGUUCGGAUUCAUUGGGCGUAAAGGGUGCGUAGGCGGCGCGGUAAGUCGGGUGUGAAAUCUCGGAGCUUAACUCCGAAACUGCAUUCGAUACUGCCGUGCUUGAGGACUGGAGAGGAGACUGGAAUUUACGGUGUAGCGGUGAAAUGCGCAGAUAUCAGGAGGAACACCGGUGGCGAAGGCGGCGACCUGGUCCUUGACUGACGCUGAGGCGCGAAAGCGUGGGGAGCAAACAGG